rnacentral:rRNA from 1 species
UACGAAGGGGGCUAGCGUUGCUCGGAAUUACUGGGCGUAAAGGGCGCGUAGGCGGAUGUUUAAGUCAGAGGUUAAAUCCCAGGGCUCAACCCUGGAACUGCCUUUGAUACUGGACAUCUUGAGUACGGGAGAGGUGUGUGGAACUCCGAGUGUAGAGGUGAAAUUCGUAGAUAUUCGGAAGAACACCAGUGGCGAAGGCGACACACUGGCCCGUUACUGACGCUGAGGCGCGAAAGCGUGGGGAG